GAACUGCUCAAUUCUUGGAUGUUUUAGCCCUCUGUCUGAGUCAAAAUUCAGUUUUUGCUGGUCCCCUUGAGAAGAAUGUUGCAGCAAAGCGUUCCUCAUCAGGGUUCAUGCAUUCCAUAGCAGAGAUAAGAGCUGUUAGAGCUGCUGACUCUGACAAUCUGGGAAGUAGAAAGAAUCAAAAUAGAAGAGUACAUACCACGGAAAGUAUAAAGAAUGAGCAUCAGCUGCCACGUUUGCCGCCCUGGUUUGUUUAUGUUGGCAGCCAGAAGCUGUACCAUUCUGUAGCUGGGAUCCUUCGACUUGUAGGGUUAUCUUUAUUCGCAGACCCUCGAAGUGAAGGGCCUCUCUCUGUCAUCAUUGACUUGCCAUUGGAGAACCUGCGGAAAUUGGUUUCUGAAAUACGGAUGAAGGAAUACAGUGAAGAAAGUUGGCAAUCUUGGUAUAGCAGGAUUACUUCAGGACAAUUAGUACGUCAGGCCAGUACAGCUGUGUGUAUCCUGAAUGAGUUGAUAUUUGGUUUGUCAGAUCAAGCACUUGAUGACUUUAACAGAAUGUUUAGAGCAUAUGUAAUGGAAC
rnacentral:misc_RNA from 1 species